rnacentral:rRNA from 1 species
CCGUGAACCUUUACUACAGCUUUACACUGAACUUUGACCUUGUCUGUGUAGGAUAGGUGGGAGCCUUUGAAGCAGGGGCGCUAGCUCUUGUGGAGGCAACGUUGAAAUACCACCCUGAUAAUGUCGGAGUUCUAACCUUGGUCCGUUAUCCGGACCGGGGACACUGUAUGGUGGGUAGUUUGACUGGGGCGGUCUCCUCCUAAAGAGUAACGGAGGAGUGCAAAGGUACCCUCAGCGCGGUCGGUCAUCGCGCUCUAGAGUGCAAUGGCAUAAGGGUGCUUAACUGCGAGACUGACAAGUCGAGCAGGUGCGAAAGCAGGUCAUAGUGAUCCGGUGGUUCUGUAUGGAAGGGCCAUCGCUCAACGGAUAAAAGGUACUCCGGGGAUAACAGGCUUAUUCCUCCCAAGAGUCCACAUCGACGGAGGAGUUUGGCACCUCGAUGUCGGCUCAUCACAUCCUGGGGCUGUAGCAGGUCCCAAGGGUUCGGCUGUUCGCCGAUUAAAGUGGUACGCGAGCUGGGUUCAAAACGUAGACAACACUGCGUUGCCAGGAAGUAAUUCCUGGAGCAAUUUAACUGGCUCAUAUCGGUGGAGCCCUCCUGGAGUUGCAAACUGACUCCAAAGGGUAAUACCGAGGGAAGGCUGGUAACGAUGUCACUACAACCCUUGCGGUUGAUUGGUUGUAGGGACGCGAUCGGGCGAUUACGUCGUCAGAUCAAGUCGGCACCAUGCCCCUGUAGAGACUGAUCCAGUAUGGAGAGAGUCGCUGGGACCAACAGCGGCUAACACGCCAGUCUCCUCUGUUGCAAGCAGAGGAUGAAGGUAUAGUCCAUGCCACCAGAAAUGGUGGACAAGCAUGCGUGAGACAGUUUGGUCCCUAUCUUCCGUAGCCGUUGGAGAUUUGAGGGUGAGCUGUCCUUAGUACGAGAGGACCGGGAUGGACGCACCUCUGGUGUUCCGGUUGUCACGCCAGUGGCACUGCCGGGUAGCUAUGUGCGGACGGGAUAACCGCUGAAAGCAUCUAAGCGGGAAGCCCCCCCCAAGAUUAGAUCUCCCUGGGAGCUCGACUCCCCUGAAGGGCCCACGAAGACUACGUGGUUGAUAGGCUGGGUGUGUACGGCCAGUAAUGGCUUCAGCUAACCAGUACUAAUUGCCCGUGAGGCUUGACCAUAUAACCUCA